GGAAAGCUCACAGACAGCAAUAAGACAUUCAGCAGCCCGAUUCAUUGGAAAUACUAUCCACCAUUACUGCGAUUUGUUGUCUGAAACAGUGAAUGAAGAUGGCAUCUCCCGCCUGUAUGAAGCUUUUCACGAAGUGCCUUUGAAAUCGGACAGGACUACAUGGUACAUCCUCAACAGAUAUUAUAAAUAUUUGCAGAAGCUUGAAAAUCUCGUGUCGGGUUCUGCAUUCGACUAGGGAACCAGGA